AGCGUAGGCGGAUGAUUAAGUGGGAUGUGAAAUACCCGGGCUCAACUUGGGUGCUGCAUUCCAAACUGGUUAUCUAGAGUGCAGGAGAGGAGAGUGGAAUUCCUAGUGUAGCGGUGAAAUGCGUAGAGAUUAGGAAGAACACCAGUGGCGAAGGCGACUCUCUGGACUGUAACUGACGCUGAGGCUCGAAAGCGUGGGGAGCAAACA
rnacentral:rRNA from 1 species